AACGAACGCUGGCGGCAUGCCUAACACAUGCAAGUCGAACGAGACCUUCGGGUCUAGUGGCGGACGGGUGCGUAACGCGGGGGAAACUGCCCUUAGGUUCGGAAUAACUCCCCGAAAGGGGUGCUAAUACCGGAUAAUGUCUUCGGACCAAAGAUUUAUCGCCUUUGGAUGGGCCCGGGUUGGAUUAGCUAGUUGGUAGGGUAAAAGCCUACCAAGGCGACGAUCCAUAGCUGGUCUGAGAGGAUGAUCAGCCACACUGGGGCUGAGACACGGCCCAGACUCCUACGGGAGGCAGCAGUGGGGAAUAUUGGACAAUGGGCGAAGGCCUGAUCCAGCAAUGCCGCGUGAGUGAUGAAGGCCUUAGGGUUGUAAAGCUCUUUUACCCGGGAUGAUAAUGACGGUACCGGGAGAAUAAGCUCCGGCUAACUCCGUG
rnacentral:rRNA from 1 species